rnacentral:sRNA from 1 species
ACAAGAGUCAUAGAAAAGAAAGGAAACAUUGAUCCGAGAAAAAAUGGAAAUAUGCCUUUAGUGCAAAAGGGUAGAUUUAGGGUCAUCAUUGGGUUUAGAGGUAAGACCAUCUACUUGUUAUUCACGGUUUAUUUCAUUGGGUAGAUGGGGUGCUAUUCUUGUAUGCAUAGGUUGGCAUUUACCUUUAGCAUUCUUCUAAAGCUCAGUCCUUUUUCAUUGAGAGUCCCCUGCUAUUAAAAUCUGAACCACUUAAAAGGGAUCAUCUUUGUCUCAUAACCUGUCAUUGACCAAAUGAGUUCACUAGCGAUGCAUAUCGUGAUUCAUGUUUUUGAACUUAAUGAAUGUUAAAGGGAUUGGUUGAUCUUGACGCAUUGUGCAUUUGAGUGUAGGUUUGGAUCAUAACAGAGCAUGGCUAAAGUUUUUAAGUAGAAGUCGAUCACCUCGCAUCUUAGAACCGUUAGCUGGUACAUUGAUCUUAAUUGCCAUAUCUCAUGCUUUGGUUCUGAAUCCCCAACUUCAAACCUCUCCUUCCGCUUAUGUCUUCAUGUUUGCUUGAGGGCAAGCAAAGACUAAGUUUGGGGGAGUUGAUAUGUCUAUAAUUUGCAUGAUUUAGGCAUUCAUUCUUCACCACUUUGUCAUUGUUUCAUCCACAUUUCAUCUCAUUAGGAGUCGUUUUAGUGUGUUUUGCAUACUUAGGACGAUUUUGCAUUAGGAUUGCAUACUUUGGAUGCUUUUGGAGUUCAAACAGAGGAGAAAUAGAACAGAAAGUCAGAAUGCCCAAUGACGCCUUCCGCAAAAGUACUCUACCGCAGCCUCGGAUCCCUGCCAGGGCAAAUCACUCUAUCGCAACCCCGGAGAAGCUAGCAGCUCAGUUUCACUCAAUCGCGAAGUCGGAGGAAUCACCCCAUCAGAACCACUCGAUCACCAGGAGGCCUAUCUGCUCGUUUUGCACUUAACCAGACAAGGUGAGAACGAAGAAGAUAAUUGAAGCCGAAGUAACCACUCGAUCACCACCUCAUCACAUCCACCCGAUCGCACUCGAUCACAGGGUCGCAGGACCAUUCAAUCUCGUCUUCACUACAUACCACUCGAUCGCAAGGCGGAGUCCCUGAAGCCCAGUUUGAUCAAUGACAUACUCGAUCACAGGGAAGCUCAUUUCAGCCCAUCAGAUGCCAAUGACACAUUCGAUCGCAGGGUCAUGACGUGAAGAUUCGAUAUAUAUCUAGUUUCCUUAUUUGUUUCAUUUUCCCUUAUAUAAGUAGCCUCUUAGGGUUUUCAUUAGGGCAUCCCGUUUUUCAUCCAACUUUUAUAUUUCGCAACUUUCAUAGCCGCAGUGUUUCUCCUGCGACUUUGUAUUCACUUUCAAGUAUUGUAUAUUCAGUUUUCGUUUAAGUCUUUCAUCAUUUCUGUUAUCAAGUUUUCAAUCGUUGCUUUGCUAUUGUCUUUGAUUAUGUCUAAGUAGUGAACCGUAUUUCUAAGGAUGGGAUAGAUUAGUUGUGGUUUACUUAGUCGUUUUAGGUGGUUGAGUUUAGAAUACUAGAAUCCCUUUUGGAUUAGUUGCGCUUAUUGCUUGUUUCAGUGGCUAAUGUGGAAUAUGAGUCCAGACGUCCAACGCUCAGAAUGUGUUUAAUGGGCGUUGGAUCCUAUUAAUUCCAGAGAUAUCUGCCUCUACCCCAAGGGAUUGGUUGUAGAGAGGGUAUUGGCUUUAACAAGUUGAUUCGAUUAUGCCUGCUUAGUUAGAGAUCGCUAAUGAGAAUUAGGUCAGUGUCUAGCUUUGCUUGAGGAUUUCCAUCACGGGAGUGAAUUAAUCUGUUGUUGAACUUGUUGUCUAGGGAUAGCUUCUGUGAAGUUUUGUCAACCAUUUGAAUAGAUUAAGGAGACCACAUUAUUCGAUUAUCCCAUCCUUAGGAAUCGUUUAUCCAUUUGACUGCCUGUUAUCAUUUCUGCUUUGUUAUUCACCUGUCUGUUAUUGUCAUUUCUGUUUUUAGUUUCAUUUCAUUUCUGUUUUUGCAUACUAGGACUGUUAGAACCAACCAACUCUCUGCUCGGCUUGACUUAGAGCUUUCUAAUUAUAUCUCAUAUGUUUGCAUUACACCGGAUUGGAUUGACAACCUAAAAUACUACAACGACAGGAUAGUGUUUUAGGAUUAAUUGAGUAAAAAUCCUACUAUCACUUGGUGGUUUAAAUCCAGGAGGAAAAAAAUAGCUAGAACUGUUGGAGACAUACCUAUUGCGGUUGAAAGGGAACUUAUGAAGCGGUUCAAAGGUGCAUUAGGUAUGUCUGUUUCGGCUGUUGGGAGAUGGGAUUUCGAAGUAGUUGCAAAGGUUGGAGAACAAUUCCACGUCUCUUUGGAGCAACAGACUUGUACUUGCUUGGAGUUUCAGAAGAUCAGAAUUCCCUUUACCCAUGCAAUGGUUGUAGCUCAUGAUAGGGGUUUGGAAUUCAGAACUUUGGUUGGAGAGAUGCAUAGGUUAGGAAUGUGGGCACCAACGGUACAAGAACCUAUCCUCCUUGUACGCGAUCCAUCGGAGGUGGAUGUCCGUAAGAAUAUAAGGGUUCUCUGUUUAAUGCCUCCGAAAAUAAAUAUAACUCUAGGAGACCUCCAAAGCUGCGGAUACAUUCAGUUGGGGAAUAUGAGGUCAGUUA